UAACUGGUGUGAGGUUUGGGAUUUGGACCCCUCCCAUGUCUCUUGUUUUGCUUCCUGCUCCUUCGGCAUAGUCUUUUUGGUUGGCAUAGUCUUUUUGGUUUUACCGUGGCCUCUGCUUUAGCAUUUGUGCUCGUUAUUCCCCAAAUCAUGUUGUUCAUCUGCACAUGGGAUCUGCCCUCAUACACCUUGCUGCCUCCUGCUGGCACUCCACAUGCAACACGGAUAGAGUUAAACAUGUUCUUUCUUUCUUUAAACCUGCUGGCGUCAGUUAUUUUCAGUUUGAACUCAGCUCAUCCCUGAGCACAGAGCCAGUCACAUUAGAAGCCUGGAUUUAUCCCUGCCUCUUUCACCUUUCCAGACUGUCCCUUUCUGGCCAUUAUUACAUCCUUGUCUCUCACUCCUCUGUUACACUUGGUUUUCUGAUUUGACCUCAGGUAACUUAGCUGCCUGCUCCUCUCUGCAUUUCAUAUUCCUUCCCUCUGUGUGCUUUAUUCCCAGAUAUAUUUAUGCUCUGAUUGUGUCCUUCAGAUUUUUACUCCACUGCAAUUUUCUCAGUGUUAAGUUCUCUCACUCACUAGUUCUGACUUAUAUCCCCAUCCUGGCUGUAUUUAAUUCAUGAUAGUUAUAUGAUAGGCUGUCUAUAGUUCCCUUUUUUGUGUAUGUGUAUGGUGUGGAUUACUAAUGUAUUAGAUAGUCAAAAUGUUUUCUUUUUAAAUUUCCAAAGCUUUAAUGUUUAAAAGAGUGACAGACCUAUAGUACAUACUCAAUAAAUACUUGUUGGAAGGAUUAAUAAAUGAAUGAAGAAUUGCUAUCAUUAUCCCCAUUUUGCAUGUGAGAGAGAAAAAAGAUUAUCUAGUAGAAAGUGAUGGGCAUGGAUUUGAACCCAAAGAUACUGACCCUACAGUCAUACAUUUACUUACACGAUUAUAUAAUUAUUUUAUGUGUCACAUAAAUUGAUUCUCUGUACAUUAUUUUCUGUACUGGUCACCAUUUCAGCACUGCAACCAAAUACUUGCGAAAGGAAACUUAGAGGAAAAAAGGCUUAUUUUAGCUCAUAGUUUCUGUCCAUGGCCAAGUGCCUCCAAGGUAGAAAUAUCAUACUGGAAGGACAUGAAAGAGGAAAGGCUCUUACCUCCUGGCAGGCUGGGCACAUUCUGGCAUACAUUACACUGUUGGGUAAUUCUUUAUUUAUUGACCCCUCCGCAUCUAGGCUGCGAACUCUUUGAAGGUAGAAAUAUGCCUAGUAGCUGGCCCCUGUGAUAGUUAACCGUGGUGUCAACUUGAAGAAGAACACCCAGCUGACUGGCUCGGCACGGUUCCGACCCUCCAGCCUUCCGGCUCGAAAUCGUCAGUCUUCCAACCCGGACCCUUUGGCUUUCCCCAUGCCGACCCCAGUGAGACUGCGGUGGGCUCCAGGUCUUCCAUCUCUGACGCAUUGCUCGGUUCUCCAGCAGCGCAGACAGCCCUUUUGCACUCUUCACACCGGACUCCGUGGGCAGUCACUGUAAGCCUACCUUGUUGGUUUUGGUACCGGGAUCGAACUCGGGACCUUGCACUUUUGAGGCAGGCGGUGGUAUAAGCCUACCUGGUAAACCAAUCUGCUACUCUAGUGAACUCUGAUACACCCCCAUCUGUGGGGAAACAUUCCAAGUCCCUCAGUGGAUGCCUGAAAACAUGGAUCGCUCCAAACCCUAUACGUACUGUGCUUUUUCUUAUACAUACAUAACUAUGCUAAAAUACAUUUAUUAGGCACACAAGAAAUUAACAACAAUAAUAAAAUAAAACAAUGGUUGGGCUGGGGACUUAGCUCAGUGGUUCCACUGCCUGCUUUACAAGUGCAAGGUCCCAGGUUCGAUCCCCGCUGCCAAAAAAGAAAAAG
ensembl:lncRNA